GGAGUGUUAGUGCAAGUGGCCAAAGCCAGCGUGCUGUAAACGCGCCCCGAAAGGUUCCGAGGUUCGAAUCCUCGACACUCCACCA
rnacentral:tRNA from 1 species